GCCGGGUGCAGUGGCGCACGCUUGCAAUCCCAGCAGCUCAGGAGGCUGAGGCAGGAGGAUCGCGAGUUCAAAGCCAGCCUCAGCAACUGAGAGGCACCAAGCAACUCAGGGAGACCCUGUCUCUA
rnacentral:sRNA from 1 species